CGCGGGGGCGCACGUGCUUAGACAGCUGAUUGGACAAGGGAAGGCACCGGUAUGAUGAAGGACCAAUGGCAAGAUGGUGCGCCCAUGUGGACAGGCUUUGGAGAAACAAUAUUGUAAGGAUGUGGAGCGAGUGAAGUCUUUAGCGCCGACUGUGUCACGAGUUUCCAUGGUAAUUUCUGGGGGCUGGGCUUCAAGAAGUACCUCAAAGAGAAGUGACAGUAAGAACUGAAAGAGACUUUGGGGAUCAGCCAAAAUUUAGCUUGGAUUGCUGUUUAAAAACAAACCCAUGUGACUUCUGGUUGCAGAUUCUAAUGGAGAUAGAACUGAUCUCAUCUCAUCUUGACUAGAUUAUAGUGUUCAUUUCUAGUCACUGUGGUUAAAGAAGAACACUGAUAAGCUGGAAUGUGUCCAGGGAAGGACAGCCAUGAUAGUAAAGGCCUGGAGUCCAUGACAAAUAAAAAUCAGUUGAAGGAGCUGGAUAUGUUUAAUUGGAAGCAAAGAAAACACAGGGCCUUUUGAUAACUUCUAAGAUGACAAUUAAGACCUAGAAGAGUAAACCAAUUGGCUCAACCAACAGUGAAAGCGCCUUGUUGAUUGGGGGAAGACUGGAGGAGCAGAAGUGGUUGACCAAAAAAGCUAACCAUACCUCUGGAGGACUUAAAAAGCUAAAGGAAUAUCAGAAGAUGAUGUUCAGCAAACUUUAUGACAGAAGGAAACAGCUGGUAAAGUGGG
rnacentral:lncRNA from 1 species